GGGUCAGUAGGUUGGUCGUGCCACCGGUACGUACUGGUCUCACUGAUUCCUCCUUCCUGAAUAACCGUAAUGCCAUUAAUUUGGUGUUGCGGGGAAACAGGACUGUUACUUUGAAAAAAUUAGAGUGUUUAAAGCAAGCUAACGCUUGAAUACAUUAGCAUGGAAUAAUUAAAUAGGACGAACGAACCUAUUUUGUUGGUUUCUAGGAUUGACGUA
rnacentral:rRNA from 1 species